AGUAAUAAGAAGACUUUACAUUACUUGCUGGAAUUUCCUGUUGUUCUCAAUUUUCCUCCCUUGCCAGAAUUUCCUGACCUUUGCUCCCGUCUCCUGACCUUUGAGGCCCAAAUGAGGACUAGACAGUAGCUCAUGCUCUCCUUACUGUCAUCUUUUGUGCUGCUACUCCUUCUCAACAACCCUUGCACCCUGUGGCCCAACCUUUGCAGCCUAAUGGCCCGCAGCACCCUAUUACCUUCUUGGCCCAGCAACCUCGCAAUAGGAAUCCUGGUCAUGGUGGCUACAACUAGCGCCUACGCGGCGGCUGGGGGAGAUUGUGGUCACGAUCCUCGCAUUGGUUGGUAGCCCAACCAAUAGGGUUUAACCUAAUAAUCAACAAGGAGCCACUCACCGCAUGAGAAAUAAUGAAGUUGCACUCCAAGACCCAUCUCCUUUUACUGGGUCAUUGUGAGGUUCAUCUCUAUCCCAUGUCAUCGUCUCAUACGUAAGCCUUCCAUGUUGCCUUGUUCUCCUUAUGGCAAUCUUGUCUUGGUCAUCCGUCUUCCAAAGUUUUAUCUAAAUUGUUUUUAGGUUCUAUGUCUCAAUUAAAUAAGGUAUUUUGUAUCGCACAUAUAACCUUUUAAUUCCAAUAAAAUUAUUGCUCAUUUUUCGUUUUAUUCAAUUCAUUUAGGUGUUUGGAUGUCUUCUACUCUGUCUCUAUCUAGUUUUCGUUAUUAUGUAUUAUUUAUGGAUGACUAUAGCUGUUGCUUUUGGAUUUUUCCUGUGCGUGCUAAAUUUGAAGUUUUCAGGCACUUUUAGUCACUUUAUAAUAUGGUGCGCAAUGUAUUUAACUCCGUCAUUAGAUUUAUUCAAACCAAUGGUGGUACGGAAUACAUCAAUAAUUCCUUUAAAAUCUUCAGUCAUCAAACUGGGAUUGUUCACCGUUUCUCGUGUUCCCAAACCCCCGAACAAAGUGACCUUGUAAAAAGGAAAAACACCGUCGCAUGUCCACUGUCACCCGUCUCCUCCUAAACACUAGCAAUGCCCUAUCUUCCCUUUGGUCGAACCCGCCACCACCUUAAUCAUUAACGUUCUCCCAUUCAUGGUCCUUUAUUGGUCUAGUCCCUAUUUUUGUAUUUUUGGUAUUUGUGGAGUGAAAAUUAAUUCCGAAAAUUCAGAACACGACAAGUCGCCUUUUUCCUAAACAAGACAAGGUUUCCCUCAUUAAAUGGGUAGGGCCAACAAAUAUUCCCGCACAGCUCAACAUCUCUGGAGGAUUUAGCAGUUGACUUUCACUACAUCAAGCUCCCUUGCUCGUGGCAUGGAAAAGUCAAAGGUAUUAAUGACAGAAUUAAUCACCAAAUCUGAUCUUUAAUAUAUUCUUGAUUCAAGAUUAACUCAACCAAGUAAGAAAUCAUCAUCACAAUUAAUCAAGGAUACUUACCUAGUAAUCCUAAGAUUUAUCUCAUAAUUAAUAUCUUCGGGAUAAUUCUUUCCUACCUACGGAUGACACACCUUGACCAAUAGGUGGCCAACAUGUGUAGGACAAAAACCCUAACCUUAUGGCCAGCUACCUCCCUAUAAAUACUCCACCUACACCAUUUUCUGGUAAGCUUUUGAUGCACACUUAAGCCCUAAACACUUUUUUUUUAAGUUACUAAAUUAAGCAUCAAAGAUCCAUUGACCAAACCCCCUACCUCGUGGGUGCGUGAGGCUUUGGCCUUAAUCAAAGGUGUUUAUUGUUUUGUAGGUACAAAUUUAUUAAGACUAAGACGGUCCAUUUUUGCUACCAAGAAUUGGUGCUUUCAUUGAGAGCCUAAUUUAAAUACUCGAAAAAUGCUCAAGCAUUCAUUCUUUGAAAUUUUCUGUAAUGUUGAAUUUACUGUACGCUCCUAGUCAUUGAUUUUUUCUUAGAAAAUUUCUAGAUCAGUCCUUGGGAAAGGAUCUAAUGGUAUAAAAUUCUGAAACCAUGAUGAACCUCACACCCUACGUCGAAUACAAAAUGGAUGACGGAAACCACGAUGUGGCCUCACUUCGAUGAUCUUCACGGCUCAAUGUGAUAGCAAGAGAAGCCUUACUGCGACAGAGCACCACCAUCGUGUGCCCUACUAAACCUUAGGUUCCUAGACUAGUUUCUAAACCUGGUUCAGCCAACGCAACUCCAUGCCACUGAACCGACUCUGGUUCAGACUUAACUACCGCAUCAAUUGUCGGAUUGGCGACUGAACUGGGGAUAUUUUCACCCCAUUUUUCAAUAGGUUUUCUUAUCUAGCUUGAAUUUUUCACCUGCAGCUCAUUACAGUUCCACCACUUACGGAGAUGCCCAUCAUCUGAGCUCUUAUGCAACAAAUGGCGAUCAACACCUGCCUUUGUACUUAACAGAUUUGAUAAGCACCCUCGUGCAGCAGACGACCUUGGUGAAUCAGCUAAUGGAGUACAUCAAGAAGUAGCGUGCACCAUACAAGGUGUCUUGAAGUAAGACGAGAGCAGAUGAUCAUUUGAUUCUUUCCAGCAACGUCCCGGUAAGUAGAACGAGGGUAGAAGAUUGUGUCGUUGGCAAAAAUCAAAAUAAAAAGGUUUUGUGGGCUAAAAUUGUUGAUAAGUUCAGCCUAACUCUAACACGAACUGAAGAGAAGGUGUUAGUGUUUAUGAUUGAUGGACGAUUAUCAACAAAGCAUGCGCUUUAUGGAAGGGAAGCUUGGAGAGAUCGGUGGUUGACAUGGCUAGUGGAAGGAGAGUCCAAGAAGUGGGUGACAAAGCAAUGAUGAUUCACAAGAGAAGAACUAAGACCAAAAAAUAAACUUUUAAGUUAUAUAUACUUUGGACGCCGUCAAUUAUAGUCCAAGGCGAAAAACCAAUGCAAACCAACAAUGAGCAAAAUUAUUUGCUCAUGAGGCAUCAAACGUUAUUGUUGGAAAUCAAGUUGACCAUUCGGUGACUCCAUCUUUUUCUCUUUCAAGCCCCUUGGAAGAGAUAAGCAAAAGGUGGAAGAGAUAAGCAAAAUGAAGCAUAGAAAAGGGAAGAUGAAAGAUCUAACUAUUACAAAGCUUUGUUUUGAAGUUGAAAAAUUUAGAUUGAGGGGAAACCAAGGAAGAAAUGGUCCGAAUGCGUUUGUUCUUUGAGAAGAGCAAGCUAAAAAAGGAAGAUGCAAGGAACGGUUUAGAGAAAGAAAGCUUCGAUUUUGAAUAAUGAGGGAGGACCUCAAUAAAUACACUCCAAAUAGGAAGAAGUUCUUUCGUGAUAAGUGUUGGGGGAUUUUUAGGUCUAGGUGGACUCGAGCUUUGAGAACGUCCUUUUGUCUCCCUUGGUGCAGAUUCACAACAAGUCUCAGGAUAUCUCAAAAUAGAUAGCUUGUCUUAGGAAAUACCCCGGUAACAUCAACCGGCUCGAAGAUAGCGUGAAAGAUCAAGAUAAUGACUUGCUCAAGUGAAGUGUGGUGUGGAAGCUAGAAGAUUAUCAAUUUACAUGAGAGAGAAAGGAUUUGCAUGGUUGCAUGCCAUUCUUUGCUGGAUAAUCUAGGCUUUUCUAAGGUGAUACUAAGGUUUUUAAUGGUUAUGAUGUUUGAUGCAAAGCUAUGGAAAUUACUAAGGUUGCAUGGAUGGUGAUGCCUAGGCUUGGACUAUGCUUUUGGUCUAAGAGGAACUUUCUAGGAUUUUUCCUAGGUUGUUCUCUCUCACUACUUUUUGUCUAUUUCUCUUAUGUGUUCUUCAAAUCCCAUAUGUGUUCUUCCAAUCCUCUUCUUAUGUAAGUGAAGGUAUUUUCUCUAGGUUUCAAGGGAAUAUCCCUUUAUGGCUUGGACUUCCCUUCCUUUCUCCCUAGCUAUCCUAUUAUUCUCAUUUUGGUGUAAACUAGCUACACUGUUGAGACCAGUAAAGUGCCCUUUCCCAAGACGUGGCUUUCUGCAUGCACUAAAUCUGGUAAAACGCUUCAUGGCUUUUGCGUAUUGGCUGUCUGUGCAAGUUGGGAAGGGAAGUCAGUACUAAAUGCCUGACUUGCUGGGCUUAGCAUGUAUUUAAUGCAAGAAUCUAGCUUAAUCCUAACUAAGGGUGUUAGCUUGCUAGGGAAAAGAGGUAAACUAGGCUAAUUCUCUCUUAAUGAUGCCUACGG